AAGUAUACACAAGUUUAAAGAGAAAACUUCGAUUAUGCUUUACAUCGCUGUUUGUUUACGCGUCUUUGUUUUAUUUUGUGCUACUCUUUUACUCAAACGCAGCUGUGUUUCCUAGAUGAUGAAAUUAUUGCAAGCAUUUGAAUUGAGAAGUGCAAAGCGGAUCCGCGAUCAAUUAUUAGAUAAUAAAAGAAUAUCAAGCAGUUAGUAUAAUGCAUAGUUCUACAGUGGAAAGCGACAAUGUGCCUAAAGAAGAGGAAGUGGAAAUUAUGACAGAAAAUCUACGUUAUAGAAAUAAUGACAGGGAAUGCGGCCUAAAAAGAAGACAAUUUCUUUGGUGUUAUGAUCGAUUCAAUAACUGAGGACCAGUUGAGAAAGGCCUUGCAGCUCCAAAAAAAAACGAUAUUUUAAAACUCAAGUUGCCUUAAAGUAAUAAAAGUAUCCGUCUUAUUAAAAUAAAGAAAAAUUAAAAUUAAAUAAAAACUGUAAUUGUAAUUGUAAAUUUUUUUUUAAUUUAUAAUGGCCGACCCCUACAUGGGGUCCGAUGUAAGCACUUAUUUUACUGACCCUUCAAUGGGGUCCCAUGUAAGCACUUAUUUUACCGGCCGUUCCAUGGGGUCCCAUGUAAGCACUUAUUUUACCGGCCGUUCCAUGGGGUCUAAUGUAAGCACUUAUUUUACUGACCCUAAUAUGUUGCACUAUUUCACUAGUUCGUGGUAAUCGAGGCGGUGGCGAUUGACCCUAUUUGCGGACAUUUCAUACAAAAACGGAAAUUAAGAAACGCAUGGCUAGACGCC